GGCGGCGGAGUAAGUCAGGUGUGAAAUCUCGGGGCUCAACCCCGAAACUGCACUUGAUACUGCUUCGCUAGAGUAUUGGAGAGGAGAUUGGAAUUUACGGUGUAGCAGUGAAAUGCGUAGAUAUCGUAAGGAAGACCAGUGGCGAAGGCGAAUCUCUGGACAAUUACUGACGCUGAGGCACGAAGGCCAGGGGAGCAAACGGGAUUAGAUACCCCGGUAGUCCUGGCAGUAAACGGUGCACGUUUGGUGUGGGAGGAUUCGACCCCUUCCGUGCCGGAGCUAACGCGUUAAACGUGCCGCCUGGGAAGUACGGUCGCAAGAUUAAAACUCAAAGAAAUUGACGGGGGCCCGCACAAGCGGUGGAGUAUGUGGCUUAAUUCGAUGCAACGCGAAGAACCUUACCAGGGUUUGACAUGCAUCUCUAAGUCGGUGAAAGCCGGCGAGUGUAGCAAUACACGAUUUGCACAGGUGCUGCAUGGCUGUCGUCAGCUCGUGUCGUGAGAUGUUGGGUUAAGUCCCAUAACGAGCGCAACCCUUAUUGUCAGUUGCUAACAGGUCGUGCUGAGGACUCUGGCGAGACUGCCACCGUAAGGUGUGAGGAAGGUGGGGAUGACGUCAAAUCAGCACGGCCCUUACGUCCAGGGCUACACACGUGUUACAAUGGCCGAUACAAAGGGCAGCUACCGGGUGACCGGAUGCUAAUCUCUAAAGUCGGUCUCAGUUCGGAUCGAAGUCUGCAACCCGACUUCGUGAAGCUGGAUUCGCUAGUAAUCGCGCAUCAGCCAUGGCGCGGUGAAUACGUUCCCGGGCCUUGUACA
rnacentral:rRNA from 1 species